AUGGCUUUCAGGACAGCACUCCUGUGCCUUCUUGGCAUGCUGAUAGCUUCCCCUGCCAUUGCCGUUUCUGAUUCUGGUACCUACUACCAGAUUGGUUUAAUGUGGCCGGGAGCAUACUGCGCGCAGACCACCCGCGGAUGCUGCAUGCCCAAGAGCCCUGUCGUGCCGGCGGCCGACUUCUACGUAUCGGGCUUUACCGUCUUCAACGCGACGACCGACGCCCCCGAGACCAGCUGCAGCAGCACUCCUCUCAACUCCGACGAGAUUCUGGAAAUCAGCGGUCUGAGGCAGUUCUGGAGCAACAUCAAGUGCCCCAGCAACAACGGCCAGAGCAGCUGGAAGAGCGCCUGGAAGACGUCCGGCGUCUGCUCCGGCCUCGACGACAAGGCCUACUUCCAAGCCGCCAUCGCCCUCCGUAGCAAGAUCAACCCCCUCUCUCGCCUCGUCUCCAAAGGGAUCAAGCCGGACUUUGGCCUGUACAGCUUGGAGAAGAUCAAGAAGGUCAUCCAGGCGGGCACCGGCGUGACGCCGGUGAUCCAGUGCAGCGAAGGGCCGUUCGAUAAGUUCCAGCUGUACCAGAUCUUCAUCUGCGUGGCCAGGGACGCCGAAACGCUCAUCGAGUGCCCGAAACCGCAGAAGUUCACGUGCUCCGACGAGAUCCUCUUCCACCCCUUCAAGAAGUGGAUGCUAAAGCAGGCCGCGUCCUCGGUGUCCUACGCCGAAGCAUUCGAGAUGGCCGGCGCCGCCAUGGGAUACUGA
rnacentral:rRNA from 1 species